rnacentral:rRNA from 1 species
UACGUAGGAGGCGAGCGUUGUCCGGAGUUACUGGGCGUAAAGGGUGCGCAGGCGGCCAUUGAAGUUUGCGGUGAAAUCUCCCGGCUUACCUGGGAGGGGGCCGUGAAAACUGGAUGGCUUGAGGCUCGGGGAGGGGCGUGGAAUUCCGGGUGGAGCGGUGAAAUGCGUAGAUAUCGAGAGGAACACCUGCGGCGAAGGCGGGUUGCUGGGCCGACACUGACGCUGAUGCGCGAAAGCCAGGGGAGCGAACGGG